AUGGGUGAGAGGUUGAGACAAGAUAGAGUGUUUGGGUGGGAUCUCGGCUGUUUGGAUGGAGUGUAAAUGAGGGCAAUUUCAUAUUUUCACUCAUUAUUUAUGUCUAAAUCUACAUAACAUGAAAGAAGGGACCAUUUAUUUAACGAAAUUCAAUUUAAGAGAUUAAUUAAUUUCUAAAUAAUGACAAAUUUCUAAAAAUUAAAUAAUAGUUUUUUUUAUAUAAUAACUAAAGGCUG
rnacentral:misc_RNA from 1 species